UCAAAUGAUGUAAGUAGACUUUAAAAUUUAAAAGAUAUACAUUGAUAAAAUCAUUUCUUAAAUACAAAGGAAGAAAUAUGUCUGCAAUCAUCAAGUUUAUUUAUGUUAUCUUUAUUUCUAUAUUGUUGACCUCAUCCAACGGUGGAAGAAUUUCUAGAUGUGUAACAGAUACGGAAUGUUUACAAUAUCAUGGAUGCCAGCCACCAAGAAUAGUGAUGUGUGACAAUAAACAAUGUAGAUGUGCUAGCGUGACAUUUCUAAUUCAUUAGUUCCCAUAUGAUUAUGCAUUUAGGGUUGUAUCCAAGAGAGUGCACAAAUGUUCUUCAAAAAUAUUUUAUAAAAUUGCCAACUCAUAGUAUAAGACUUUCAAAAUAAAUCUUGCAUAUCUAAGUUGAAUAAGACUUGUAGGUUAUAAUUUAUUAUAAGAUUUACUUGUAAUUUGAAAUGAAUCAUAUUCACUUGGUAUGCUUUCUAUGA